UGAAAAAGAGAACUACCCUAUGAUCCUGCAAUUCUGCUUCUGGGUAUCUAUCCAAAGCUCACGAAAACACCAUCUCGAAAAGAUAGGUGCACCCCCUGUUUAUUGCAGCAUGCUUUACUAUGGCCAAGAUAGUAUAGAGAAAGGAAUAUUACUCCGCCAUAAAAAAUAAUGGAACCUUGCCAUUUGCGAUGGCAUGGAUGGACCUCGGGGGCGUCAUGUUGAGUGAAGUAAGUCAGACAGAGAAAAAGAUACCUUGUUGAUCGAGCAUCACACUGCAUUAACACUGGGGUCUAUUUCUGGCCUUUCUGUCCUGUUUCCUUCGUGGAUUCUCAGGUCUCAGGUUCUCCGGUUCGGCGUGGAGGACACGAAGGAGGGUGAGGGAGGGACGUUGUCCUCCAGUUCACGGCUGUCGAGCAGAGAAGUGGGGCCGGUGUGGACACCCUGCCAUUCUCUAAUGGAGAUCUGCUUCGAGUGUUGCGUUUUUCUGAUGUUUCCGGUGUCCUACAGGAGGGCGUGUGGCUGAACAAUGAGGACAGACCGCUCUACACUCUGCGUCUUCGUGUAGACCCUGCUGGGCACGCAGACCCCUUGAUAGGAACCGUACAUCGGAGCGACAUUUCUGUGAAACGAAACAGAUGCACCGACCACACGGAACCGAUCCUGUUUACCUUGCCCGCUGUUACGAGGACCGCGGCUUGCGGGGCAACAUAUAAACACGUUCUCUGCUCUGACCUUCUGUAUUAGAGAAGGUACGUUUUACAGCGUGCUUGGACCCUUGAGGAUUUAGGCGGGAUCGCCCCUGGAGGAUAGGCAGCUUGGGGCAGCAGGACACAGAGGGUGCACCUGUGUCCUGUGUUCCCGCCCUGCUCCUGGGAGCUGCCCGGGCAUCAGCCCUGGUGACCGGGAGGGUGUGGUUUGGGACAUCCCAAAGGCGUCCCUCAUUCUGCACUCUCCCUACUUGUCACAGCUGCAUGGGGGGCUGAAGACGAGAACACCUCAGCAUCAGAGAUCAGGGAGAAGAGCCACGUUUCCAUCGGACUGGACGGUCCCCUGCUGUCCACCGGCCUCGGCAUCUCUGCUCUCCAGACAUUUAAAGACACUGUCAACGGCAUCCGGGAUUGGCAAAGGACAGGUGCAGGUCAGAUCUGGCCGGUGGCCUCCCUUACCCAACCUCUCGUGGCAAGAAUGGCUUUUACAUUUUUAUUAUUAUCAGUUUAUACAUUUUUUGAAGUUUAUUUAUUUUUGAGAGAGAGACAAAGAGA